CACAGAGACGCUGUGAGCCCCGGGGGGGUAGGGGGAAAGGUGGCUCUCUGUGGACCUCCUGGCCCCCAACCUGGACUGGGAAGAGGGCCAUACCAGGGCAGAGGCUCUUUCCUGGCAGAGGGCUGCCCUUCACCAUCAGCGCACACCCCCAAAUCCUGGCACCCCUAGAAGCAAACUCCCCUCCGUGGAGGGAUCAAUCUGCAAAGACACUUAGAGCCCUCCAUUUCGGGGCCCCUCCUGUCACCUGUGGUUUGCAGAGGGAAGGGUGAUGAGGGGGAGUCCCAGGGAAAGCCAGCUGUCAGAUGCAGAGAGGGUAAAGGUUGAGCUGGCUGGGCUCACCCAGAGGCCUCCAAAUGGAGGCGCACCCCCCUCUUUCUCCAGGGGAGGAGAUGCCCCUUUGGGAAGCCAGAGAAAGGCAGGAAGCCUGUGCCCAAGAGUAGAUUGGGCAGGCCAGGGCUCCAGCCCCCAAACAGCUGCUGUCUGGGCAGGAAGGUGUCCGUGGGGAGCCCGGGGAAGGGGCGGGGGUCAGCAGCAGCCCCUGGAGCCUAUGGCCCAGCUGGGCACCCCCCUCCCCAGAGCCCGCCGGCCCAGCUGAGGAGGGCCGUGGGCAGGGCCUGCCUUUGCAGAUCUGGCUUUAUCUUCCACACACAUUGAAACCAUCAGGCCUGGCCCUCCGAGCAGCCCGCCUAACCCCGUCAGCUAGAGACACUGAGCUUUCAUCCAAACCAGACCUUCCCUCCUCCAGGUCCCUGCUCGGGGGAAGGGGGGCAGAGAGCACAGGCCUGGAGCCAAUUCCUGAAUUUUUUAAUUGUUUGUCCCCUCUUCUACUCUCCUCUCUGAAAUAUCCACGAGGCCACCUCCCACUCUGGGCCCCCUCGCUCCCCACCUCAUCCUCCAAGGGGCAUUUAGAGGAUGCUAAGGAAAACAGGGAGUCCGGGGGCCCCAAAGGACAGAGCUGCACCAUCAAAGCAGCGAGGGCGCUUCUGUCCUUCCAGGUUUGGGGAAACCAAUUCAAAGGCAAACCCCGAAUGCCUCUUGCUUGGGGCCAAUAAAAAUCUUGCUUCAGUGCCGGCUUCCUCCGCUGAAAUCAGAUAUCCUAGCAAUAAACAAGUUUGAAAGGCAGGGAAAAGCUCUUACUUUCUUCUUCUGAUUAGUUUUUCUUCCAAUACCCUCUCCUUUCACAGGAUCCCUGCCCCAGAAACUUGAGUGCAGAACUGCACCCUGACUCCAAAGUCCUAACCUCCCCCCCAGGCUCCUGCAGGCACGGAGCUGGCUUUGCUCAAAGGCAGGUCGAAGGGGGCUGGGGGAACAGGCCUUGCAGCCUGGGGAGCUGGCUGCCAGCUUAUAGUUCUCAGCCUUUGGCUGCUGGCGGCAGUCAGAAACAAGAAGUGGAGUUAGGACAAACUGGGAGCACUUUUUUCUCAGGUAAUCCUUCUGAAGUCCCCUCCAUGCACUGCGGGCUGUGAAAAGCCCAGCACCAUGGGGUUUUGUGUCGAGCGCACAGUUGGGAAAGCCAGCCAAGGUGGGUUUUGAGGUGUCAGAGAGGCUGGGAGGGCAGAGGACUUGGGGUUUUGCUUCCUCGCCUGGCCCACCAGCCCUCUCUUGGGGGUACCCCGCCUUAUGUCUCUGUCUGUCCCAGGGGAGUGGUCCUCCACAGGCGGCCUGCUGUGAGGAGCACCCGCUAGGAGCUGACUCCUACCGCCCUCCCCUACCGUCUCCACUCCCCCGGAUAGCUUUUUAAGUGACUUUGCUGUCUGAGAUGCCAUUCUGUUUGUUUUUCCUUCUGACACUAUCUCUCCGGAGAGUUUCUGGUCAAGAGAAUUAUGUUGAGGCUGCAGAUUGCAAGAGAAUCGAGCCUAAUGGGGAACAGACAGACAAGACACCUUUCAUGUCCAGCCAAGUUUUCCUUUCCCCCCAACCCCCGUUCUUUCUCUCUCUCUCUCCCAACUUCUCAUCUUCCCUUUUUGGCUUCAAAGUUGGCCCUGGUUUGCACUAGUUUCUUCGGUACAGCUGGUGAAUAAGGUCACACAUUGAUUUUAUUUUGGAGAUUGGCAGCUGGGUCAAGCCUAGCUCUGAAGCUGGGGAGCUCCAGGCAGGAGUGCAGCCAGCCAGCUCGCGGAGAGAACCUUCCAGAAGGCCAUCGGCACUCGGAGGGUGGCUUCUGCUCCUUUGGGGUCUCAAAGCUCAGGAGCUGGACAGUGUAUUGAUUUUUAAAUACAAAAAACGGUGCCUAGAGUAACCCCCUCCACCGUCGCCCCGCACCCCCUCUCCAUCCCCACCGUGUGCCGUGUCAGCCCCCUGUGUUGGAGCUGACAGAAGACAGUGUCAGCUCUGAGGUCCCUUUUGGGACCCUGAAAUGAUUUUUUUUUCAGAGAGGGACUUGACCUUGCGAAUGAAGACUCGGCCACAGGCGGCCUGAGAUAUCUACAAACCGGGUAUAAAGCUGGGCGCGACUGGGUGUGGUUGAGGCAAAGUGGGUAGGGAAAAAAAGAGAGACCCUCUCCCUACCUACGUGCUGCUUGAGGGGAGGGCAGAUUAGCAAAAACUGUCUCGUGGACGGUUGGAUGCUUUCGCCCUUAGUCACGAGGCUGAUGUAAUAGCAUUCAACUGAUUUCAUGGUAAAGACAGCCACGGCUCCCAGCGCAAAUCAGCUCAAUUGCACGGCUGCACUUCUGGUCUCCUCGAAGCCCUCUAGGAACAGGGGGGCGAGGCGUCCACCCUCGGUGCUUUGGGGCCACUUCUCGUCUCAAGGACAAGGAUGUCCUGGAUUUUCCGAAUGCCCCGUUUGACCUCCUUCCUCCUGGCCCAGCCUUGGGGAACAGAAUUCAGCGCCUGUCUGGCCAUGGGGGCUAAAGGGCACUAUGCACACACUCUGAGCCCUGCAGCCUGUGACACAGUUUGCAUCUACGUGAGGGAAACAGGGUAAAAGAAAGCAAAGGGUGAGUCCAAUCAGGCUGGGUUUAAUUCUCUCCCUCCCUCCCAUCCCCUCUACUUGGGGUUCCAAAGUUUGUUCUGCAUUAAGACUUGUCAGUUCUCAACAAUGACUGCAGGCUGGAAAUCAUCCAUUUCUUUCAUGAUACUUCCCCUUGAGAAGAAACUGAUUAAAGCUUUCAAAUCUCAAAAGGAUCCAAGGUUACAGCAAGCUUCUAAAAUUACCAUCUUCAAAAAAGCCACAAAGGAGAAAACGACAGCGUUGAGAGAGAAAAUCUAGAUGAGAAAUAUUUGGGGCUCACGGCGAACGCAGGCAUUUCUACCAUCAGCCUGACCUCCUGCUCUGAAACUCAACUACCAAGGUGGGUCUAAUUUCCAACUGAACAGUCAAGAUUUAGAUACAAAGAAUUCAGAUUCCACUUACUUGAGGAUUUGAUGCUUUUUCAAGCAGUUCCUGAACCUACAGGGUAAAAAACAGAGUAAGUCAGAAGCCUGGCACAUACGACUCUUCUGAGAGCAGCUUACGGGCAGGAAAAGGGCCCUCACAUACAUAGUUCUCCCCGAAAGUGCGUUGCCCGUGACUGUAGGCCUCUAUCACCAUGUCCGCAGGUUUCGUUUUGCUGACUGCUACUAGCCGGGGCUGGAUGGCUGGGAGAUGCUGCCAAGAGGAAAAGAGCCAGAUGAGUCAAUGUUUGGACUUAUCCUGAUAAGUCCUGUAGGACAUCCUGUAGGAUGGAUCGGCAGAGAUCUUUACUUGGCAUUUGAUAAGAUCCACUUUUCCAAUACAGCAAGGCUAUCAGUAUCAAAUAAUGUUGAUGAAAUGUCUUUUGUAUGCAUGUUAGCCACAUUAAUAUCUAGCAGAGCAGAAGGGACUACCCUGGUGGUCCAGGGGUUAAGAGUCUGUGCUUUCAGGGGGCGUGGGUUUGAUCCCUGGUCGGGGAACUUAGAUCUCACAUGCUGCAUUGCAUGGCCAAAAAAUAAAUACAUGUAAAAACUAAAUAAAAAAAAAAGCUAGCAGAACACCUUUCUCUCUCAGGAGAGCUGGGAAGGUAAGUAAAAGCUUUAUUUGCUAGGAGUGUGGUCUUUAACCAAUAUUACCAGUAUCAUCUGGGUCCCCUCCUGACCCACUGGGUCCGAAUCUCAGAUUGGAGUCUGAGAAUUCUGCUUUAAAACAAACUCUUCAGCUGACUCUUGCAUGGCAAGGUUGGAGGUUUAAGAAUCACUUAGUUAAGAAAAGGCAUCAAUCUCUGACUAGAAGGGAGGCCACUUCCAGCUCCUAAAACCCCAAGGUCAACAGUUUUGGAAACUCAUUGUGAUCCUGGGGUAGCUAUCAAUACUGCCUCUCAGAAGCAGCCUUAGGGUAACUCUGCAAUUUAUGUGGCAGAACCAGUGGCAGAGGGGCAUCCCUGGUGAUCCAGUGGUUAAGAAUCCGCCUUCCAAUGGAAGUUCCAUCUCUCAUCAGGGAACUAAGAUCCCCCAUGCCUUGGGGCAAUUAAGCCCACCUCACAACUAGAGACAAGGGGGCGUGCCACAACGAAGAUCCUGGGUGGUGCAACUAAGACCUGAUGCAGCCAAAUAAAUGAAAUAUUGAAAAAAAAAAAAAAAAGAAAGAAA